GAAUCCCGUCUUUGGCAUGGAUGACCGGGGCUUUUGUGAUGCGCUCUCGAAGAGUCGAGUUGUUUGGGAAUGCAGCUCCAAAUGGGUGGUAAAUGCCAUCUAAAGCUAAAUAUUGGCGAGAGACCGAUAGCAAACAAGUACCGUGAGGGAAAGAUGAAAAGCACUUUGGAAAGAGAGUGAAACAGUACGUGAAAUUGUUGAAAGGGAAACGCUUGAAGUCAGUCGUGCCCUUUGGGAUUCAGCCUUGCUUCUGCUUGGUUUACUUCUCUUUGGGUGGGUCAACAUCAGUUUGGGUCGGAGGAGAAAGACUUGGGGAAGGUGGCAGCAUUCGCGCUGUGUUAUAGCCCCUUGUUGUAUACUUCGAUUUGGACUGAGGACCGCAGCACGCCUUUGGCCGGGGCUCGCCCACGUACGUGCUUAGGAUGUUGGCAUAAUGGCUUUAAACGACCCGUCUUGAAACACGGACCAAGGAGUCUAACAUGCCCGCGAGUGUUCGGGUGGAAAACCCGUGCGCGCAAUGAAAGUGAAAGUUGGGACCUCUGUCGCGGAGGGCACCGACGCCCGGACCAGAGCUUCUGCGACGGAUCUGCGGUGGAGCGUGUAUGUUAGGACCCGAAAGAUGGUGAACUAUGCCUGAAUAGGGUGAAGCCAGAGGAAACUCUGGUGGAGGCUCGUAGCGAUUCUGACGUGCAAAUCGAUCGUCAAAUUUGGGUAUAGGGGCGAAAGACUAAUCGAACCAUCUAGUAGCUGGUUCCUGCC
rnacentral:rRNA from 1 species